ACCUCACAGGAAGCUUUGCCAGGGGAAGAAUCCUCUCUACAUCCGCUGCAGACCCCCACAAAGCCUGCAGCAGCAGGCGUGUGGCAGCUUAACCUGCAUGCAGAAAGGUGUCCACCAGAGAAAGCUCCUGGAUCUGGCACAAGUUGGCGAGAAUUUCUGAUGCUUAUUUAAAUGGAAUCAGGACCUGUGAAUUCUUGGGUCAAUCCUGGGUCAACAAGGUUUUACAAAUCUAAAGCAUCUACCAAGUCUUUGGCCAUUCCUCCAUACCAGUUGCUUUCAACCUUUCCCACACUGUGACCUUAUUUUCAAAGCACCUCCUUCCCAUUGGUACACAGCAUGUAAUUUUAUGUCUGUUCAGAAAAACAGGAUUCAACAGCUCUGUAGUGAACAGUUACAGGAUUAUUCAUGUGCUUAAAUUCAAACCUAACCCAUGUGUUGUGG